CUACGGGUCGCUCCAGUGAGGAAUAUUGCACAAUGGGGGAAACCCUGAUGCAGCAACGCCGCGCGGAGGAUGACGCAUUUCGGUGUGUAAACUCCUUUUAUAUGUCAAGAAAAUGACGGUAGCAUAUGAAUAAGCACCGGCUAACUCCGUGCCAGCAGCCGCGGUAAUACGGAGGGUGCAAGCGUUACUCGGAAUCACUGGGCGUAAAGGACGCGUAGGCUGGUUGGUAAGUCAGGUGUGAAAUCCUACAGCUUAACUGUAGAACUGCACUUGAAACUACCAACCUAGAGUAUGGGAGGGGGAGAUGGAAUUAGUGGUGUAGGGGUAAAAUCCGUAGAUAUCACUAGGAAUACCGAAAGCGAGGCGAUCUCCUGGAACAUAACUGACGCUAAGGCGUGAAAGCGUGGGGAGCAAACAGGAUUAGAUACCGGGUAGUC
rnacentral:rRNA from 1 species